GAACAAGGGCUACAAGUGAGACUGAAAUACAUGAGAGAGAGAGUUCCAAGAAGAAGAGUUUAUCGGUGUUUGACGUUGAAGAGAGAGAGUGAGAUCUUCGUUACAUCCCAAUCUUCCUCUGCGCAGAGAGAGAGAGAGAGAGAGAGCGAUAAUAAAACCUCGUUGGGGUUUUUCCGAAAGCGGUCCUGGGAGGAGGAGAUAAGAUAGAGGUCAUUUUUAGGGAAAUUUAGCGUCAGUACCAUUAUAAGAAAGUCUUGUUACAUAGGUCGAUUAUAAAGAUGAUAACCCCAAUAAUCCUCUUUUACCAAGUGGACGUCGGAUAACAUUGUCACUUUUUUAUUUUUUGUGUUUAUUUUAUAUUUAUUUAAUUUUAUUUAUUUUUUAUUAAAUAUAAAUUAAAAAUAUAUUUGUGUUCAUCUAUUUUUAAAAUAUUUAAAAAUAAAAACAUGAUGAGUGAAAACACAAUCUUCCUCUGCGCAAAAAGAGAGAGAGAGGAGCGAUAAUAAAACCUCGUCGGGGUUUUUCCGAAAGCGGUCCUGGGAGGAGGAGAUAAGAUAGAGGUCAUUUUUAGGGAAAUUUAGCGUCA
rnacentral:lncRNA from 1 species